GGUCCAGACUCCUACGGGAGGCAGCAGUGGGGAAUAUUGCACAAUGGGGGAAACCCUGAUGCAGCGAUACCGCGUGAGCGAUGAAGUAUCUCGGUAUGUAAAGCUCUAUCAGCAGGGAAGAAAGUGACAGUACCUGACUAAGAAGCCCCGGCUAACUACGUGCCAGCAGCCGCGGUAAUACGUAGGGGGCAAGCGUUAUCCGGAUUCACUGGGCGUAAAGGGAGCGCAGGCGGCACGGCAAGUCUGGUGUGAAAACCCGGGGCUCAACCCCGGGACUGCAUUGGAAACUGCCGGGCUGGAGUGUCGGAGGGGUAAGCGGAAUUCCUAGUGUAGCGGUGAAAUGCGUAGAUAUUAGGAGGAACACCAGUGGCGAAGGCGGCCUGCUGGGCCUUUACUGACGCUGAGACUCGAAAGUGUGGGGAGCAAACAGGAUUAGAUACCCCAGUA
rnacentral:rRNA from 1 species